rnacentral:rRNA from 1 species
GAUGAACGCUGGCGGCGUGCCUAAUACAUGCAAGUCGAGCGAAUGGAUUGAGAGCUUGCUCUUAUGAAGUUAGCGGCGGACGGGUGAGUAACACGUGGGUAACCUGCCCAUAAGACUGGGAUAACUCUGGGAAACCGGGGCUAAUACCGGAUAACAUUUUGAACCGCAUGGUUCGAAAUUGAAAGGCGGCUUCGGCUGUCACUUAUGGAUGGACCCGCGUCGCAUUAGCUAGUUGGUGAGGUAACGGCUAACCAAGGCAACGAUGCGUAGCCGACCUGAGAGGGUGAUCGGCCACACUGGGACUGAGACACGGCCCAGACUCCUACGGGAGGCAGCAGUAGGGAAUCUUCCGCAAUGGACGAAAGUCUGACGGAGCAACGCCGCGUGAGUGAUGAAGGCUUUCGGGUCGUAAAACUCUGUUGUUAGGGAAGAACAAGUGCUAGUUGAAUAAGCUGGCACCUUGACGGUACCUAACCAGAAAGCCACGGCUAACUACGUGCCAGCAGCCGCCGUAA